rnacentral:rRNA from 1 species
AUUGAACGCUGGCGGAAUGCUUUACACAUGCAAGUCGAGCGGCAGCGCGGGGCAACCUGGCGGCGAGCGGCGAACGGGUGAGUAAUGCAUCGGAACAUGUCCAUGUCGUGGGGGAUAGCCCGGCGAAAGCCGGAUUAAUACCGCAUAAGCCCGAGAGGGGAAAGUGGGGGACCGCAAGGCCUCACGCGAUUGGGUUGGCCGAUGUCCGAUUAGCUAGUAGGCGGGGUAAGAGCCCGCCAAGGCGAUGAUCGGUAGCUGGUCUGAGAGGAUGAUCAGCCACACUGGGACUGAGACACGGCCCAGACUCCUACGGGAGGCAGCAGUGGGGAAUUUUGGACAAUGGGGGCAACCCUGAUCCAGCCAUUCCGCGUGAGUGAAGAAGGCCUUCGGGUUGUAAAGCUCUUUUGUCCGGAACGAAACGGUUACGGUGAAUACCCGUGACUACUGACGGUACCGGAAGAAUAAGCACCGGCUAACUACGUGCCAGCCGCCGCAGUAA